CAGUAGCCGCGGGAAUACGGAGGGUGCAAGCGUUAAUCGGAAUUACUGGGCGUAAAGCGCACGCAGGCGGUCUGUCAAGUCAGAUGUGAAAUCCCCGGGCUUAACCUGGGAACUGCAUUUGAAACUGGCAGGCUAGAGUCUUGUAGAGGGGGGUAGAAUUCCAGGUGUAGCGGUGAAAUGCGUAGAGAUCUGGAGGAAUACCGGUGGCGAAGGCGGCCCCCUGGACAAAGACUGACGCUCAGGUGCGAAAGCGUGGGGAGCAAACAGGAUUAGAGACCCCUGUAGUCCCUGUCUCUUAUAU
rnacentral:rRNA from 1 species